ACGGAAGGCAGCAGUGAGGAAUAUUGGUCAAUGGACGCAGGUCUGAACCAGCCGAGUCGCGUGAGGGAUGGCGGUCCUAUGGAUUGUAAACCUCUUUUGUCGGGGAGUAACGUGCGGUACGUGUACCGUAUUGAGAGUACCCGAAGAAAAAGCAUCGGCUAACUCCGUGCCAGCAGCCGCGGUAAUACGGAGGAUGCGAGCGUUAUCCGGAUUUAUUGGGUUUAAAGGGUGCGCAGGCGGCGCGUCAAGUCAGCGGUAAAAUGUCGGUGCUCAACGCCGGCCGGCCGUUGAAACUGUCGUGCUCGAGUUCGUGCGAGGAGAGCGGAAUGCGUGGUGUAGCGGUGAAAUGCAUAGAUAUCACGCAGAACGCCGAUUGCGAAGGCAGCCCUCCAGCACUGGACUGACGCUGAGGCACGAAAGCGUGGGGAGCAAACAGGAUUAGAUACCCUGGUA
rnacentral:rRNA from 1 species